GACGAACGCUGGCGGCGUGCCUAAUACAUGCAAGUAGAACGCUGAAGGAGGAGCUUGCUUCUCCGGAUGAGUUGCGAACGGGUGAGUAACGCGUAGGUAACCUGCCUGGUAGCGGGGGAUAACUAUUGGAAACGAUAGCUAAUACCGCAUAAUAGUAGAUGUUGCAUGACAUUUGCUUAAAAGGUGCAAUUGCAUCACUACCAGAUGGACCUGCGUUGUAUUAGCUAGUUGGUGGGGUAACGGCUCACCAAGGCGACGAUACAUAGCCGACCUGAGAGGGUGAUCGGCCACACUGGGACUGAGACACGGCCCAGACUCCUACGGGAGGCAGCAGUAGGGAAUCCUCGGCAAUGGACGGAAGUCUGACCGAGCAACGCCGCGUGAGUGAAGAAGGUUUUCGGAUCGUAAAGCUCUGUUGUAAGAGAAGAACGAGUGUGAGAGUGGAAAGUUCACACUGUGACG
rnacentral:rRNA from 1 species